UUCCAUAAAGCAUAAGAUAUUUUAAUGAGAAAACGAAAACAAAACCAAACCUUAGUCUCAUGUUUCUAUCUAAAGACACUCAAAACUAGUUUUUCCCUGCCCAUCCCUUUCCUAACUGCAACUUUAUGUGUGACCAUGUAAUAAAGGCCAGUUUAAAGAAUUUUUUUUUUUUUAAAAAAGUUUAAACCUUUUUUAAAAAGAUUAAACAAUCAGGCUAGCAAAAAGGUACUCAAUACAUAUUUUCCUUAUAUCAAACAAGCUAAUUUCAGUACAAUAUAACUAUACAGAAUAUAUACAAUACACUUAUGUUCACAAAGCAAACACUAUAGGCUCAGAACAGAUUUGAAAAAACAUGAUAUUCACAUUGAUUACAAUAACUCUAAAAAUGAUUGUAACGUUGAAACGGCACUUAGUUUACAAAAAAGGUCACAAAAAUAUAUAUAUAUAUAUAUAUGUAGUCACCAAGAACUAUGGUUCCUGUAAAAUACUAAUAGCCAGAUACUAGUAUAUAAAAUGUGAAGUUCUGACAUUGUAUACAUUUUUUGGAAAUAAAACAAAAUCCAAAACAAUUUCUGUUAUUGUCAAAAGUCAAACAUGCCAAGUAAUUUAGCUAUGGCCAGUGUCACCAAGUAAAGCCAUACUUGAAUGAGAUGACGACUGGAUACAAAGCUGGUGAACUGGGGACUGGCACAGUUAAGAGUUGUACUAAUUCUAGGAAAGGGGUAGAAGACAUAAAAACACCCAUCUAUGUAAUUUAAUUCACAUUUUCUCCCCUGCAUCACCUUCCCUUGAGAGUUUCACAAAAUGCCAGUGCCCAGAAAGAAUCAUAAUGCUAUAACUGGCAGGGUAAAAAAGUACCCCCACCUCGACUUCCUUGCUGCAGGGCUAUAGGCAAAUAUUAAAGCAUGCAUCAGCUACACAAAACCAUCAGUCACCCAGCUGGAAGACCAUGUGUACAGUUUCUGCCUAGGCUGGCUGCACUAGGAAGUACUCCAGUUUUUAAAUGGAGCCAGAUUUAUGUUAGCCCUGUAAAAUAUUGAGCUACUGUAGCAGCAAAUAUGAAAUUACAGAACAAAAACAAAAUUUUAUUUAAAAAUUUGUUACAUCAAAAUUUUUUUCCUUCAAACCUGUGUCCUUUAACCAAACAACAGCUUCUUCUAUCACUUAAUUCUGGUCUAUUACCUCAAUCUGACUUUCUCAUUAUGCUUCUCUGGAAAAAAGACACUUCUAUAUCCUGGAGAUUAAAUUUACUCUUAAAAAUGGAAAUACAGGAAUUUUAAAGUAAAAAAAAAGUCUGUUGUAAAAGUUCUUUCACAAAUAUAUAUAUUUAAAUAUUAAAAUAGGCUACCUAGGAUUUUUAUAAAAUGGCUUUUGAAAAGAUAGUAGAGGCACAAAGAAGCCAUAUACUAUCCUCCAAGUUGGACAUAAGGUGCCACAAGGGUGCCCUA
rnacentral:lncRNA from 1 species